GACGAACGCUGGCGGCGUGCCUAAUACAUGCAAGUCGAGCGAAGUUUUUAUGGUGUUUGUACCGGAACAACUUAGCGGCGAACGGGUGAGUAACACGUAAAGAACCUGCAUCAUAGACUGGGAACACUAUUGAAAACGAUCGCUAAUACCGGAUAACAGCAUAAACUGCAUGGUAGAAGUUUAAAAGUUGGUUUUGCUAACACUAUGAGAUGGCUUUGCGGUGCAUUAGCUAGUUGGUGGGGUAAAGGCCUACCAAGGCGACGAUGCAUAGCCGACCUGAGAGGGUGAUCGGCCACACUGGGACUGAGACACGGCCCAGACUCCUACGGGAGGCAGCAGUAGGGAAUCUUCCGCAAUGGGCGAAAGCCUGACGGAGCAACGCCGCGUGAGUGAAGAAGGAUUUCGGUUCGUAAAGCUCUGUUGUUAGGGAAGAAUGAUUGUGUAGUAACUAUACACAGUAGAGACGGUACCUAACCAGAAAGCCACGGCUAACUACGUG
rnacentral:rRNA from 1 species